AGUGAACGCUGGCGGUAGGCCUAACACAUGCAAGUCGAACGGCAGCACAGGAGAGCUUGCUCUCUGGGUGGCGAGUGGCGGACGGGUGAGGAAUACAUCGGAAUCUACUCUGUCGUGGGGGAUAACGUAGCGAAACUUACGCUAAUACCGCAUACGACCUACGGGUGAAAGCAGGGGACCUUCGGGCCUUGCGCGAUUGAAUGAGCCGAUGUCGGAUUAGCUAGUUGGCGGGGUAAAGGCCCACCAAGGCGACGAUCCGUAGCUGUGCUGAGAGGAUGAUCAGCCACACUGGAACGGAGACACGGUCCAGACUCCUACGGGAGGCAGCAGUGGGGAAUAUUGGACAAUGGGCGCAAGCCUGAUCCAGCCAUACCGCGUCGGUGAAGAUGGCCUUCGGGUUGUAAAGCCCUUUUGUUGGGAAAGAAAUCCAGCUGGCUAAUACCCGGUUGGGAUGACGGUACCCAAAGAAUAAGCACCGGCUAACUUCGUGCCAGCCGCCGCCGUAA
rnacentral:rRNA from 1 species